GGCCGUCUAGCUCAGUUGGUUAGAGCGUCGUGCUAAUAUAAAAAUAGUUAUUUCAAUGGUAUAUUACGCGAAGGUCUUGGGUUCGACCCCCACGAUGGCCA